rnacentral:rRNA from 1 species
GACGAACGCUGGCGGCGUGCUUAACACAUGCAAGUCGAGCGGUAAGGCCCUUUCGGGGGUACACGAGCGGCGAACGGGUGAGUAACACGUGGGUGACCUGCCCUCAGCUCUGGGAUAAGCCUGGGAAACCGGGUCUAAUACUGGAUAUGACUCCAUGACGCAUGUUGUGGGGUGGAAAGCCUUGUGCGGCUGAGGAUGGGCCCGCGGCCUAUCAGCUUGUUGGUGGGGUGAGGCCUACCAAGGCGACAACGGGUAGCCGGCCUGAGAGGGCGACCGGCCACACUGGGACUGAGACACGGCCCAGACUCCUACGGGAGGCAGCAGUGGGGAAUCUUGCGCAAUGGGCGAAAGCCUGACGCAGCGACGCCGCGUGAGGGAUGACGGCCUGG